UUUAUGCCCCUUCUUCUUCUUCUCAUUCUCUCAAAAGUCUUGUUGACUCUAUUACCCACAAUGCCCGUAUUAUCCAAGAGAGAGACGUCGAAAGCUUCGAUCUUUGGAACACCCACAGCCGAGAAGGAAGCAACAAGGAAAAUGGCUCAGGGGGUUUGGCCAGUAAGAAGAAGAAUAAGAGGAGGAAGGUAAACGACGAUGCUGAUGUGGCAACUGAAGCUUCCAAUGAUGCUGAGAAAUCAACGAACAAGAAAAAGAAACAGAAGCAGUAGAAGAAGAAAAAGAAGACCAAAACAGUAGAACAACACAGUUCCAAUCAUGAAGGGGAAAUGCCACAAUCUACAGUGUUGAAUGACAGUAAUAAUAAUACUAAUGCUAAUAGCAGUCAAGAUGGUUGUGAUAAUCCUACAAAGAUAUAUGUGGGAGGAAUUCCCUAUUACUCAACCGAGGAUGAUAUUUUCAGAGCUGUGACACCAUAAUUGAAGUUGACAUUAUUAGAGGGAUUGACAUUAUUAGUGUUAAGAGAAGAAGCACCAUCACGCAACCCCAACAAGAGGAGAAGGAAACGAAAGAAAAAAGCGAGGGAAGAAACAGAUAGAUAUUGGAUAGAAAUAGAAACAAUAUAUAAAUAUAAAUGACAAAAAAGAAAGAGAUAGAAAGGGGGGAUUUUUAAUUUUAAUUUGUUACGGGGAGGGGAAGAGUUGAGUUGAAGAGGAUAGAGAACAAGAUAAACAGGCAAGUCACAUUUGCAAAGAGAAGGAAUGGUCUUCUCAAUUCUUUGUGAUGCUGAGGUUGCCCUCAUCAUCUUCUCCAACAGAGGAAAACUCGAGUUUUGUAGCAGCUCUUUUCUUUUCUUCUUUCAUCUCUUUAUUAUGUGUCUUAUGAUGAGAUCUAGUAUUGUUCUUUGCUAAUAUAUGUUCAUUUUUUGUUUUUUAAU